rnacentral:tRNA from 1 species
CGAGGAAUGAGGGAGUUGGUUUACCCUACCUGAUUUGGAUUCAGGAAGUCGCAAGUUCGAGUCUUGCUUCCUCGA